UACGGGGGGGCAAGCGUUGUUCGGAAUUACUGGGCGUAAAGGGCUCGUAGGCGGCACCGCAAGUCGACUGUGAAAUCUCCGGGCUUAACUCGGAAAGGUCAGCCGAUACUGCGGGGCUAGAGUGCAGAAGGGGCAACUGGAAUUCUCGGUGUAGCGGUGAAAUGCGUAGAUAUCGAGAGGAACACCUGCGGCGAAGGCGGGUUGCUGGGCUGACACUGACGCUGAUGCGCGAAAGCUAGGGGAGCGAACGGG
rnacentral:rRNA from 1 species